GACGGAGGGUGCAAGCGUUGUUCGGAUUGACUGGGCGUAAAGGGCGUGUAGGCGGUCGGCCAAGUCUGAUGUGAAAGCCCGAGGCUCAGCCUCGGAAGUGCGUCGGAAACUAGUCGGCUGGAGCGCGAUAGAGGAGGGUGGAAUUCCUGGUGUAGCGGUGAAAUGCGUAGAUAUCGGAAGGAACACCAGUGGCGAAGGCGUUCGCCUGGCCUGAGACUGACGCUGAAGCGCGAGAGCGUGGGUAGCAAACAGG
rnacentral:rRNA from 1 species